UAAUUUCUGGAUUCUGCCAAUGGAGGCAGGAGCCUUCAGCUAAAUUCUAACUUCCAGGCUUACUUUGUAAGCAUUAAAUCAAGCCACACAUGUCAGCCUCAACACUGCUGUGUGCCUACUGCAAAUAAUGACAGAUCUUUAAUACCCCUUUGCAAGCAACAUGAGCCUUGUCCUGCAGGGCAGCCCGCUGCUGGUUAGACCACAGGUGCCUGGAUAGGUUAAUAAAGUCUCCACCAAAAGACAAGAGGACUCUUGAGCCGCUGCAAUCCCCGUGGGUUUAUUGAAGAAUGAAGGCAAGGAGACGGCAGCGGGGAGCAGCUGCACGCAGGGGGAGCUGCAGGAGUGACUGGGAAGGAGGGGCCGGAGUGUAGAACUGGGAAAGGAAGGGGUGGCUGGGGUACAAACAGUCCAGUGGGAAGGGGGUGUAAGGGGGGAGCAGGGAUGGAGUGUCAAACUGGACCAAUGGGAACAAGGGGAAGGAGUGGUUAACUCAAGAGAACUAAUGGGGAAACAGAGAACGUAGAACUUUCUAGAACUACAGGAUGGUACAACCAGUGAUGAGCAUAAACUGGGGAGGAUGCGACAUAUGAUGGGCAAAUCUUCAUUUACAUGGGGAAGGUGGGAAUCCAGGGGCAAUACUUUUCCUUAUACCACUUGGUUUCCCGUGGCAUUCCUGGAGAAUCCUCCUCAGGACCGCCUCCCACAUCCCUUGGGCUGCCAAACAUGAAUUUAUUAUGUUCUGUUGCGAUAAUGUUCACUAAUCCUUUCAUAACAUAGCAAAGCUGACAAAAAAGCCCAUUCAAGAGGACUAUACAUGUGUUUUUAUAGGAAAUGUUUACUAGUGAAGCUCUACCUGUGGAGACCAAAGAUAUUUUGGAGGAAAGCAUACACAAGAAUUUUGGGUUUUGGGAUCUUCUUUGGGACCUUCUCAAAUCACCACAUCUGAAUUUUGUCUGUCUGAUAAGACAAACUGAAGGGAUUCUCCACAAAGCAGGAAUGCCCUAUCUCUGCUUCCUCUUCUUCCAUGGAAAUAACAGUCCUCUAUUUUCUCUGUUUAUAGCUCUCUCCAUUGAUAUUUUAAGUGGAUCAGAACAUUUCAGUCUUAGAGAGAUAUUGCCCAUCAGCAAAAAGCUCAUCAGCUCAGGUUUUGUAAAAAUAAACUGCAGAUGCCAAGCUGCCCAGAACUUCCAUGAGUCUGGGCUUUGCUGCAGUGUGGGGAAAAAUCAACCAACAUAGACAAUAACAGGCUGCAAACACGGCUCUCUCCCAUUAAGUAUAGGAUAUACUUCUUCAAACUGUAUCAUUUCCCACAACUUUAUUUGGAGGGGUUUGGUGUCCUCUUCCAAACUACCAGUUGCAAACCCAAAAGGGUGUAUAAACAAACUGGAACAUCUCAUUUGAAAAACAUCCAGCUAGUGACUUGGGCUCUCAGGCACUGUAAGUCACCAUGUCAUGCAAACCUGAGCUGGCCUCGUGUCCUGUGGCCACUUAACAGCUAAUGCUGACUUUUUAUUUUGUUGUUUCUCAGUGGCAAUGGAACUUCUAAUGAAAAUCAUGAAGUUGGUAUAAGGUUAUUGUUCAGGUAAAAUCAAGUGUCAGGAUUAGCCUGCUAAUCUCCAGCUCCAGCAGAGCUGUGUGACAUUUGGCACAUGGACUGGGGAGCAGAGCAGUGCAGCUCCCACAGGCUGGUACAAGCACUGAGUUCUCUUAGACAUGCUGUACAUCUGUCCCACUCAUCAGCUAUUCCAUUUGCUCUUUAGCACAGUGACUCUACCCUAGAACUUGCACAUCGUUGGGAAUCCUGCCCAGCUUCACCACUCUUCUACUGAAGAGUAUGGCAGAGUAAGGUGAUAGUAAGGUAGUGGCAUGAGUAGUAAGGCAGAGCUAAAGCACCUGUGCCUUCAUGCCUCAGUGCAGGCUGGGUGAGAGCACCAGGGAAAAACCAUCUGGGGAUGCAGAAGUUCACAGAACUGCUAUCCCUGCCCUCCGUCAGUGGGCAGCCAUUCCCCCAUGUCUGUCACUCCAGGCCCUCGCCCAAGGUCUCCUUCCAGCUCUCUCAGAGCUCUUUGGGUACUGGAAAGCCUCAGUAGGGUCACCCCAGAGAGAUUCUGGGUAUUGGUACACGUAUUUUAACCUCUUCUAGAAUCUCUUGUGAAUUUAAAUCUUUGACCUGCUGUAUUGACUCUACUGUAGGGUCGCAGAUGGUGUUUUUGCAGGUUCUUCACUUGUGCUGAGCAAGGGAAAAGAAGUGGAACAGAAGAGUGGAUCCUAUUUAGAUUCAUUCUUUAUUCUACACCUGUGACAUAGCAGCCUGCUGUGAUCAGAGACUGGAUUUACUACAACCAGUGACCACUUUCAGCAUUUAACCACCUCUCUCUAGAUCACUAUAUCCAGUAUCCCCUUUGGUUAAAUGGUUCAUUUUAUUUAGGGCAGGAACAGCUCACACUUCAUGUCUGUAUAAGGGCAAGUGCUGUGGGUCCUGGUGUUAAUGUGUCACUGUCCUGCUGACAGCCCUGAUCUGCUGAGAGAUUGUGACUUAGAGGGAGAUUUAAACUCUUCUUUUAGUUCAGAGAUUCCUCUAAUCAGGCCAGUAUUAGAAAAUGCUAUUCAAACUCAUCCACAUAGAUAUAUAUACAUACAAGAUAUAUUGUAUACUUACAGACUGUUUAUCUAGAUCUUGUUUUAUGUAAGGAAAAAAAGGUGGAAAAAACACCCAAACUAUUCUUUAUGUGCUGUGUCUUCUUAUCAGGAAACAGCCAGACUGAAGUAGUUCCCCAGCUUCCUAGAUUGCACAAUCCCACUUUGCCCAACAAGAGAGUGCUGCAAGAACUGGGUUGUUCUUGGUGCUGGCUUUUGUAAAUGCUCUUCCCUGAACUUCUCAUUAACCUUCUGAACCUCAUGCCUACUGGAUGGAUCCCAGCCAGCAUCCUCCACUACCAAAGGACUCUUUGAAAGGAGGGUUUACACCUCAGGUUCCAAAUUGAUUUACUGUGGCACACUAACUACAUAGAAGAGGAAGGCAAACAGUGGAUUUGCCUUUUUAAAAACAGCAGUUGAUUAAAAAAUAAAGUACCAAUAAUGUGAGAAUCAUACUGUCCUGAAACCUUCAGACAUUUUGGCACAUAGCUCUGUCUCUCUCGGACAAUUGCAUCCCCUUUUUCACUGCUUCCCUCCUCCUGUUCCAGAGCUCCCCCCUGGAGCCAUCGGGGGGUGGGAGCAGAGUGAGUUGUGAAGUGUCCUGGGAUAAUCCACUUUGACAGGGAACUGUGCUGAUUAAAAGUUAUGGCUUUGGAACAGCAAAGCUCCCACUGCUGUCCAUGUAAAAGUUGCUGCUUUCUAUUUAAACCUUAACCAUCAGAUCUAAUCAAAAGAAAAGAAGGACCUUUUUAUGAAUUCCAUGAGAAAAAUUCCCCUCAGGUGUAGGUUGCAUGGUUUGAUCAGCUCCAGUAUCAUGUUUUAGCAUUUCAUAUUAAUCUAGUUGACUCUGAGCCAAGAAUUUAACUUUCAAACUUGCCUGACGGCCAGGCAAAAACAUUUUAGCAAUUUGUUAUUAUUUCAGCUAAAUUUGAAAUAUGCAAAUUAAGAUUUAUGGUAAAUGAGGGCUUAAAACUAUGCAUUUAUCUCCACGUGGAAAAGGUAUCAUGUAGCUGCAAGAUGCCAAAAAUCACCAGAGCUGGGCAGAGAACAAGCAAAUUACAACUCCCAGAAGGCACUGGAGAGUUGUACAUCAGCAUUUGGUGUCCUGAUCACAGGAAACAAACUAUUUCACAGUCUGAGUUUUCUGGAAGAUACGGAGUUGACCCAGCCCUCAGACUAAGUAUCUCAUGUCACUGUUUCCAACUGAAAACUGGUAAAGUCUCAGGUAAAUCUGGCUUUUUCAACAAGGCUGAACGAAAAGAACAAUUAUUGUUUCAUGGAAUGUAAGUAUCCUGUUGAAAACAUAGUGAUGGGGAAAAACUGAUUAAGUACAAAUAACAUUUAUAUUCCUUUCUUUUCUCCCAUCCUCUCCCUCAUUUCUCCAUGCAUAAGCAAUUAAGAUCAUUCCCAUAUGCCAAUUCAGCUUUGCUGCAAUCCCAGUAAGGCAAAGAGAUAAAGACACCGCCAAUUUCCUGCCUCCUCUUCCUGGGGCAGUCCAGAGGAACACAAACCACGCAAGUCAGAUCCAGAGGUGCUCUGGAGAGAUGCAUUCAUUGCUGUGUGGUCUAAUUCCCUGCUCUAUAUUCUGUGAAACUGAAGACAAUAGGAUGACACAUGGACUGGAGAUAAAUCUGUGCAUACUUUCCUUCACAAGUCAGGGUUUCCAAUGAAAAGCAUUGGAAAACUGACAUACAUUCCCAAAGUUCAGCUCAGCCUGAGCCUUGGGGUCCAAGUUUCAUCUUAAUCAGAAAUAAUUUCCCUUAGGUUAAAGGAUUCAUAACCACAUAGCAUCAGUGCACAUAGGCCAGACUCAAACCACAUCUGGCAACAAGGGCUUGAACACGAAGAAUUUUCAGUGAACAGCACAGAUCUUUUCUCAGUCUGUCCCCUCACAUGCAAACCAGAAUUUCCAGAUUCUGGAAGCUGAUUUUCCUCACUGCCCUAGUUUACUGGAAGAAAAAAGCAGCCUUCAUGAUGCACCUUAUUCCCUAUUUUUACCUAACUCCUAGAAAUACCUCAUAGAACUUUAAAUUGUGAGGAACUCAAUCAAGCAAGGCUUGAACUCGGUUGAUAUAAAUACAUAAUAAUAAUAUAUAUAAUAAAAAUAUAAUAUAAUAAUGAUAAUAAUGAUAAUAAUGAUAAUAAUGAUAAUAAUGAUAUAAUUCUGCCUUGGAGAACAAAACUGGUUUAACCAAAGGGAUCUGGUGGCCAGAACCUGCCAUGGCUGGGGACAGGGAGCUCUCCAGUGCCCGAGUGGGAAAGGCAGCAAGAGCAGAGCAGGGCACAGCCCAUCCGUGUUCUUAGACAGCCACCUAGUGAGUGUAGCGAGGGAACAACAGCUCCAAGGAAAUCCCGUGAAUUCUCACAGAGGCUGGAGUUACUCUACAAAUACAGCACUAAAACAGUGCUAAAACACUGCUGAAACUUUGCCAUGAGUGCAGAGGGGCUUUGCCUCACUCAGGGCAGUAGCAGAGCAGAAGUUACUGAGAUGUGAAAUUAUCAUCCCUCUAUGAUACAUACAUACAUACAUACCUACAUACAUACAUACAUACAUAUAUAUAUAUAUAUAUAUAUAUAUAUAUAUACACAUCUCACCUUAUUCUUACAUAUCCAUUGCUAAAUCAAAACAUUUCUGUUGACUGAAAACAGGACAUGAUGGACAUCAUGCUAUAUAAAAAAAGGGACAAAGUCUGGAGGGAUAGAGAUUCAUAGAAUCAUUAAUGUUGGAAAAGACCUCUAGGAACACCACAUCCUUCUGUCAGCUUAGCACCACCACCACGUUCACCAUUAAACCAUGUUGUCAAGCACUGUAUCCACAAGUUUUGGAAUCCUUCCAGGGAUGGUGACUCCAGCAGUGUCCCUGGGGAUGGGCACAAAGAGCCUGCUUCAUUGCUGGAGUGUGUUGGGCCAUUUCUGCUAAGCCAAAUUUGUCUGUGGAUGUGAAAUUAGCAGGAAGUCUUUCAAGAAAGGAGAACCUGUGAGCCCAGUUCACCUCAAAACCAGCACUUGCAUU
rnacentral:lncRNA from 1 species